rnacentral:misc_RNA from 1 species
GCCAAAUCCAUCUCCACCAUCUAUAAAACCGAAGGUCUCAAAUCACCGUCGACAACCACCGCUUCCGCCGCCAUUUCCACGGUUACACCGCCGGAGGACGUCCGUUUCCAAAAGUAAUUAAAUAUGUCCACUCUCUACAAUCCUCUAAUUUUCACCAUUAAAAACCCAAAAGGCAGCCUUAAACCUCACACUUCCCUUCCUUCUUCUGUCCCGACUUUUAGGCUUCGUAAAUUUCAAAAUUUCUCAGUUCAAUCCUCCAUUUCCUCAUCCAAUGAGCCGGAAAAACCCACCUCUAUUACACCGGAUAAUGAUAAAGCUGACGAUAAAAUGGUCGAGUUCGUGGAUGAAUGGGGAGAGAAGUCGGAGCCCGAACCCGGACCGGUUACGAAGUUAGCGGAUUCGGAUCCUCCGGAGUAUGAUGAUGAGUGGGGUAAUGGAAGUCCCGGAGUUGACGUGAGUGGUGAAGAGGACGAGAAGCUUCUAGAGCUGAAAAGGUGUUUGGUGGAUACAGUUUAUGGGACGGAUUUCGGAUUUCGGGCUUCAUCAGAGAUUCGGGCCGAGGCAUUGGAGUUCGUUUGUCAGUUGGAGGCAGCCAAUCCUUCUCCAGCACCAACUGAGUCUCCUGAGUUGCUUGAUGGGAACUGGAUUUUAGUGUUCACUGCAUUUUCCGAGUUGUUACCUCUUCUUGCUGUGGGUAACAUUCCUCUGUUGAAGGUAGAAAAGAUUAGCCAAGACGUAAAUACAAACAGCUCGACUAUAGAGAAUGCGACUACAUUAUCAAGCCCUGUAGCCACCUUGUCCUUUAGUGCUACUGCCACUUUUGAAGUUCGAAGCCCCUCUAGAAUACAGGUUGAAUUCA